UACGUAGGGGGCAAGCGUUGUCCGGAUUUAUUGGGCGUAAAGAGCGUGUAGGCGGCUUUACAGGUCCGUUGUGAAAACUCGAGGCUCAACCUCGAGACGCCGGUGGAAACCGUAAGGCUAGAGUCCGGAAGAGGAGAGUGGAAUUCCUGGUGUAGCGGUGAAAUGCGCAGAUAUCAGGAGGAACACCCGUGGCGAAAGCGGCUCUCUGGGACGGUACUGACGCUGAGACGCGAAAGCUAGGGGAGCAAACGGG
rnacentral:rRNA from 1 species